rnacentral:rRNA from 1 species
GACGAACGCUGGCGGCGUGCUUAACACAUGCAAGUCGAACGGUGAAGCACCUUCCUUUUGGUGGGUGUGGAUGAGUGGCGAACGGGUGAGUAACACGUGAGUAACCUGCCCCCUUCUUCUGGAUAACCGCAUGAAAGUGUGGCUAAUACGGGAUAUUCUGGGUCUGUCGCAUGGCGGGCCUGGGAAAGAUAUUGUUUCGGUGUGGGAUGGGCUCGCGGUCUAUCAGCUUGUUGGUGGGGUGAUGGCCUACCAAGGCGGUGACGGGUAGCCGGCCUGAGAGGGUGGACGGUCACACUGGGACUGAGACACGGCCCAGACUCCUACGGGAGGCAGCAGUGGGGAAUAUUGCACAAUGGGCGCAAGCCUGAUGCAGCGACGCCGCGUGAGGGAUGGAGGCCUUCGGGUUGUAAACCUCUUUCGCCAGUGAAGCAGGCCUGUCCCUUUUGUGGGUGGGUUGACGGUAGCUGGAUAAGAAGCGCCGGCUAACUACGUG